AGGAUAUUAGUUAAUUCCCAUAACAUUUAAUUUGCAAUUAAAAAUUAUAUACUUAAUUUAUUUAUAUAUAUCUUA
rnacentral:tRNA from 1 species